UUGACUGCUUUGGAGAAAAAAAAAUCCUCACGUUAACCACAGAAGAGGCCGUGGAGAGCAUCAAUGAAAGCUUCUCCACAGUGAAUCUACCAAUAUGCCUCAGCUCUGUUCAGGAGGAACCACCUUUAGUAUGACAGUGGUUCAGUUUCCAUUCCCAUUUAAUCUGGGUCCUCU
rnacentral:sRNA from 1 species